rnacentral:rRNA from 1 species
ACGGAAGGCAGCAGUGAGGAAUAUUGGUCAAUGGGCGGAAGCCUGAACCAGCCAAGUCGCGUGAGGGAAGAAGGUCCUAUGGAUUGUAAACCUCUUUAGCCGGGGAGCAAUAAGCGCCACGUGUGGCGCGAUGCGAGUACCCGGAGAAUAAGGAUCGGCUAACUCCGUGCCAGCAGCCGCGGUAAUACGGAGGAUCCGAGCGUUAUCCGGAUUUAUUGGGUUUAAAGGGUGCGCAGGCGGUCGAUUAAGUCAGUGGUCAAAUCGUGGAGCUCAACUCCAUCCCGCCAUUGAUACUGGUUGACUUGAUUUCGGUCGAGGUAGGCGGAAUUCGUCGUGUAGCGGUGAAAUGCAUAGAUAUGACGAAGAACCCCGAUUGCGUAGGCAGCUUACCAGACCGACAAUGACGCUCAUGCACGAAAGUGCGGGGAUCGAACAGGAUUAGAUACCCUGGUA